GUUUAGCAUGAUUGUUGUUGUUAUUUUGUGUAUGUGCUAUGUUUACGCAGUGUGUUUUUGUUGUCAUAGACCGCCAGAAGCACUGACAGCCAAGAUGCUUUCCUGCCGGGGUUCAGCUGUAAGAAAGGCCGACGCCCGUAUGUUGGGACAGUGACCUGAGGGCAAGGCAACCGUGCUCCUCUCUUGUUUUGACACCGGCUUGAACACACCUUGAUGAGGACCGCCAACCACCGCCAUUCUGUAGAGGCUUUGCCAGAACAUCGCCGAAAGUGCGGCACAGCGCAGGAUGCCCGUAGAUAUGGAAUGUUUGGAGGAAAGACGUCGAAUGAAUUGCAGUGUGUAAAGUAUGCAAUCAUUAUAAUUAUAGAGGAAUUUAUGGAACUCGUUUGAUUAUUCCCUUCAAGUAUUGACAGAUUAUCUCAGACGUGUCCAAAUGCAGCUGUUGAUUGCUAUGUAAACACAGCAUAUUGAUGAGACCUUCUUCUAUCUCUCUCACUCGUGUGUUGUCUGUGAUGGUUGAAACUUAAGUCCACAAUCGUAGCAAGCAUAAUUUCAGAGCACGUGUUUGUGUACUUCGCUUCUGAUUAGUUUCUUUACCGAAAUUAAAAUGUCUGAUUGUGCCAUGUAAUUUUUUGAAUCCAGACUCAUACAAUACAGAAUAAAGAAAAUAGAAUUACCAUUGUUGGUUA